ACCACUCCUCCUCUCUCUCUCUCUCUCUCUCUCUCUGUCUCUCUCUCUGUGUCUCCCUCUUCGGGUGACCCAUUGUCUCCCACAUUCAAUCACCAACAAAUUCUCAUUUCAAUCUAUUCCCUCGAUAAUGACCACAGCUAAUUAAGUCCUCCUUCCACUUGUAAUCUCUCAUCCCCUUGACCCCCACUCUAAAAAACCCACAGUGCUCUUGGUCAAUUUUGCUAGUUUUCGUUCUGUUCGAGGUUUUGGUCUUUUUGUGUUCCAAAUCAUCCU